GACGUAGGGUCCAAGCGUUGUCCGGAUUUACUGGGCGUAAAGAGCGCGUAGGCGGUCUGUUAAGUGAGAAGUGAAAUCUCCAGGGCUCAACCCGGAAACUGCUUUUCAUACUGGCAGACUUGAGGGAUGCAGAGGUGAAUGGAAUUCCUGGUGUAGCGGUGAAAUGCGUUGAUAUCAGGAGGAACACCCAUGGCGAAGGCGGAUCUCUGGGCCUUACCUGACGCUCAGGCGCGAAAGCUAGGGGAGCGAACAGG
rnacentral:rRNA from 1 species